GGUCCUGUGGUGUAAUGGUUAGCACCUGAGACUCUGAAUCUCAAGAUCCGAGUUCGAAUCUCGGCAGGACCU
rfam:Trichoplax adhaerens TRIADscaffold_5 genomic scaffold, whole genome shotgun sequence.